AUGAGACAAUAUUGGUGGGGUGUGGAGAAUGGAAAGAGGAAGAUGGCAUGGCUAAGUUGGGAAAAAAUGGUGUUACCCAAGGAUGGGGGUAUGGGAUUCAGAGAUAUGCGUGCAUUCAACCAAGCAUUGUUGGCUAAGCAAGCUUGGAGAUUGUUGGAUAGCCCGGACAGCCUUUGUGCCCGCCUACUCCAUGCAAAGUAUUACCCCAAUGAAAACUUGAUGGAUACAGUGUUCCCCUCAUCCUCAUCAGCAGUUUGGAGGGGCAUCACACACGGUUUGGAGCUGCUUAAAAAUGGGUUGAUUUGGAGAGUCAGCGAUGGUUCUUUGAUAAAAACUUGGAGAGAUGCAUGGAUUCCGAGGGGGCAUGACUUCAAACCUAUCACCCCGAAGGGUACAUGCAGGUACCAUUGGGUGGCUGUUUUCCUUGAGGAAUCUGGUGCAUGGAAUGUUCAAAGACUCCGCCAAUAUUUCUGGGACAUGGAUGUCCGAGAGAUCCUAAAAAUUCGGACGUCACCUAGGAGGGGACAAGACUUCCUUGCUUGGUUCCCGGAGAAAAGUGGAAGAUUUUCAGUGAGAAGCGUGUACCGGCUUGCGAUAUUCCAUAUGCAUACGGGGUUGGGUGCGUCAUGUGUUGCACCGGAGGGCCAGCGUCCAAUCUAG
rnacentral:rRNA from 1 species